UGGGGAAUUUUGGACAAUGGGCGAAAGCCUGAUCCAGCAAUGCCGCGUGUGUGAAGAAGGCCUUCGGGUUGUAAAGCACUUUUGUCCGGAAAGAAAUCCUUGGCUCUAAUACAGUCGGGGGAUGACGGUACCGGAAGAAUAAGCACCGGCUAACUACGUGCCAGCAGCCGCGGUAAUACGUAGGGUGCAAGCGUUAAUCGGAAUUACUGGGCGUAAAGCGUGCGCAGGCGGUUUGCUAAGACCGAUGUGAAAUCCCCGGGCUCAACCUGGGAACUGCAUUGGUGACUGGCAGGCUAGAGUAUGGCAGAGGGGGGUAGAAUUCCACGUGUAGCAGUGAAAUGCGUAGAGAUGUGGAGGAAUACCGAUGGCGAAGGCAGCCCCCUGGGCAAUACUGACGCUCAUGCACGAAAGCGUGGGGAGCAAACAGGAUUAGAUACCCUGGUAGUCCACGCCCUAAACGAUGUCAACUAGUUGUUGGGGACUUCAUUUUCCUUAGUAACGUAGCUAACGCGUGAAGUUGACCGCCUGGGGAGUACGGUCGCAAGAUUAAAACUUAAAGGAAUUGACGGGGUCAUAGCUGUUUCCU
rnacentral:rRNA from 1 species